AUAAUGAUACUUCCGGGUUGCAAAGAGAUUUGUAAUCCGGUCAAUUAAAUGACGGUGCAAGACCGAUGU
rfam:Lachnospiraceae bacterium 28-4 genomic scaffold acPFn-supercont1.2, whole genome shotgun sequence.